rnacentral:rRNA from 1 species
UAGUAACGGCGAGUGAAGCGGCAACAGCUCAAAUUUGAAAUCUGGCUCUUUUAGAGUCCGAGUUGUAAUUUGCAGAGGGCGCUUUGGCUUUGGCAGCGGUCCAAGUUCCUUGGAACAGGACGUCACAGAGGGUGAGAAUCCCGUACGUGGUCGCUAGCUAUUGCCGUGUAAAGCCCCUUCGACGAGUCGAGUUGUUUGGGAAUGCAGCUCUAAAUGGGAGGUAAAUUUCUUCUAAAGCUAAAUAUUGGCCAGAGACCGAUAGCGCACAAGUAGAGUGAUCGAAAGAUGAAAAGCACUUUGGAAAGAGAGUCAAACAGCACGUGAAAUUGUUGAAAGGGAAGCGCUUGCAGCCAGACUUGCUUGCAGUUGCUCAUCCGGGCUUUUGCCCGGUGCACUCUUCUGCAGGCAGGCCAGCAUCAGUUUGGGCGGUGGGAUAAAGGUCUCUGACACGUUCCUUCCUUCGGGUUGGCCAUAUAGGGGAGACGUCAUACCACCAGCCUGGACUGAGGUCCGCGCAUCUGCUAGGAUGCUGGCGUAAUGGCUGUAAGCGGCCCGUCUUGAAACACGGACCAAGGAGUCUAACAUCUAUGCGAGUGUUUGGGUGUCAAGCCCGAGCGCGUAAUGACAGUGAACGGAGGUGGGAACCCGCAAGGGUGCACCAUCGACCGAUCCUGAAGUUUACGGAAGGAUUUGAGUAAGAGCAUGGCUGUUGG